rnacentral:misc_RNA from 1 species
GCAUAAUUAGUCAGGUUGUGCCCUUUACUUUCUCCAGCGGUAUUGGAUUUGCAUUCUUCUUUUAAUUUCUUUUUGUUAUUUUCUCAGUUGGUAAUUUAUUUUUGGUGCCUAAUGUGAGUUGAUUUGCUACUUUAUAGCUUAUUGAAGUAAAAUCUUAUUGUUUUUAAAAUGUAAAAAUUUCAGUGGAAUAAGGCAUUUGAGCUCCUUAUUUUGCUAAAAUUGCCUUUGAAACUUCAAUUCCUGUGCGUUUAGUCAGCUUUGCAUCUUGGAAAAAUU